rnacentral:lncRNA from 11 species
CCUUGGGCUGCGUCUACAUUGCAAAUUCAAUGCAGUUUACAGACCGACUAAGAAAAUGCAGCAAAUGCUACGUUCAACAAAGGACAAGGAGGAUCCUCUCACCUCUGCUGGAGUCUACCAGCUCAGAUCCAGGACCAAUGGGGUCAAGUGUGUUUUGACCGGGACGUACUAUCUUGGUUCCUGUGGAAUGCGAGGGAGUAAGGUUUCCUGUGUAGAGCGGAGAACAGCGAUGAGCAAUGAGCUGCGUGUGUGUGCAUGGGUGCUUUCGGCAAGCACUCAUAGAGGAAAGGACUGAAUUAACUCUAUUUGUAAAUAGUUCAUGUAA